rnacentral:rRNA from 1 species
UACGUAGGAGGCAAGCGUUGUCCGGAGUUACUGGGCGUAAAGCGCACGCAGGCGGUCUCUUUAGUCUGUAGGGACAGGGCACAGCUCAACUGUGUCAGGCUUACGGAAACUGGGAGACUUGAGGGCUUCAGAGGGAUGGGGAAUUCCGGGUGGAGUGGUGAAAUGCGUAGAGAUCCGGAAGAACACCAAAGGCGAAGGCACCAUCCUGGGGAGUCACUGACGCUCGGGUGCGAAAGCCAGGGGAGCGAACGGG